UACGUAGGGUGCAAGCGUUGUCCGGAAUUAUUGGGCGUAAAGAGCUCGUAGGCGGUUUGUCGCGUCGAAUGUGAAAUCCCGGGGCUCAACUCCGGGCCUGCAUUCGAUACGGGCAGACUAGAGUUCGGUAGGGGAGACUGGAAUUCCUGGUGUAGCGGUGAGAUGCGCAGAUAUCAGGAGGAACACCGGUGGCGAAGGCGGGUCUCUGGGCCGAUACUGACGCUGAGGAGCGAAAGCGUGGGGAGCGAACAGG
rnacentral:rRNA from 1 species